rnacentral:rRNA from 1 species
AUACCUACGGGACGCAGCAGUGAGGAAUAUUGGUCAAUGGCCGCAGGGCUGAACCAGCCAAGCCGCGUGAAGGACGAAGGUGCCAAGCAUUGAAAACUUCUUUUGUCAAGGGACAAAAUCAGGCUCGAGAGCCUGACCGAGGGUACUUGAAGAAAAAGCAUCGGCUAACUCCGUGCCAGCAGCCGCGGUAAUACGGAGGAUGCGAGCGUUAUCCGGAUUUAUUGGGUUUAAAGGGUGCGUAGGCGGGCUGUUAAGUCAGCGGUAAAAGCCCGGGGCUCAACCCCGGUGAGCCGUUGAAACUGGCU